rnacentral:lncRNA from 1 species
AAAAGAAAUAAUGAGAAAAUUUUUGAAAAAUAUUAAUAAAAUAAAGAUGUAGGCUACAUAGCUGAGGCUAUUAUUCACACCAUAUAGAAAUUAGGUUCUCGGGCCAAGCAGAAACUAUAACAUAAUCAGAAAGAAUACCUAAAGAAAUAAAGUAUGACUUCCUAAAUUUUUUAUUUUAAAAAUGCCCAGUUUAUUUAUUUGCUUUGCCUAAGAUAGCUGCAUUCAUUAUUACAGGGUCAGGGGACUUGUAAAAACAAAUAUCAAUUAUUAUAAAUAAUCACAGAAAACAAAUAAACUGGAAAAUAAACAGCGGUUACUAAUUUAAGGUUUUAACCCUUACCCCAACCACCCAAAAAAAGUAGCCAUUUUUAAAAUAAAGAUUAAGAGUUGGUGGAAUUUAAGGGAAAUGCCAUCCGGUAAUGUUACCUAAAUACUAGAAAGGAAUCAGCACAAGGAAACAGGAACAAAGCAGUGCAGUACUUCGGUAUUACAGCGCCACCCACUGGCUAGAAGUCCUCAUAGCACAUAUGAGAUGUAGCCAUAAAAUAGAUGAAUUCUUGAAAUAAGGAAUAUAACACUGACUAUUCUGAUUCAGUAGAACAUAAAAAAUGUCUAACAAAACAGAACCAGACACAUUAUAUUAUUUCUACAAGUAAACAGAAUAUCUAUUAGAUAUGUUCACAAGGGUUUUAUCAAUUUUGAAAUCCAAGUGUAUAAUCCCCAAAUGCUGUAAGGACUUAAAUUUUAUAGCCAAAACAAUUAACACAUAAAAUGCUAUUUCAUCUCUGUAGCUGAAUACAUAAAUAGUAUCUUUAAGUAAAAGAUGCAUACUUGCAUUUCAUUGCUAAGCAAUUCAUAAUAUAUUUAAAUGCUGGUAAAACCUACAAUGGCAUCUGUUGUGAUUUUCCAAAU